AUUGAACGCUGGCGGCAGGCCUAACACAUGCAAGUCGAACGAGUGGCGGACGGGUGAGUAAUGUCUGGGAAACUGCCUGAUGUAGGGGGAUAACUACUGGAAACGGUAGCUAAUACCGCAUACCAUCGGAUGUGCCCAGAUGGGAUUAGCUAGUAGGUGGGGUAACGGCUAACCAAGGCGACGAUCCCUAGAUGGUCUGAGAGGAUGACCAGCAACAAGGGAACUGAGACACGGUCCAGACUCCGACGGGAGGCAGCAGUGGGGAAUAUUGCACAAUGGGCGCAAGUCUGAUGCAGCCAUGCCGUGUGUAUGAAGAAGGCCUUCGGGUUGUAAAGUACUUUCAGCGGGGAGGCGUUACCCGCAGAAGAAGCACCGGCUAACUCCGUGACAGCCGCCGCGGUAAUUC
rnacentral:rRNA from 1 species